rnacentral:rRNA from 1 species
CCUACGGGAGGCAGCAGUGGGGAAUAUUGCACAAUGGGGGAAACCCUGAUGCAGCGACGCCGCGUGAGUGAAGAAGUAUUUCGGUAUGUAAAGCUCUAUCAGCAGGGAAGAAAAUGACGGUACCUGAUUAAGAAGCCCCGGCUAACUACGUGCCAGCAGCCGCGGUCAUACGUCGGGGGCAAGCGUUCUCCGGAUUUACUGGGUGUAAAGGGAGCGUAGAUGGCAGCACAAGUCUGGAGUGAAAUGCCGGGGCUUAACCCCGGAACUGCUUUGGAAACUGUGCAGCUAGAGUGCAGGAGAGGUAAGUGGAAUUCCUAGUGUAGCGGUGAAAUGCGUAGAGAUUAGGAGGAACACCAGAGGCGAAGGCGGCUUACUGGACUGUAACUGACGUUGAGGCGCGAAAGCGUGGGGAGCAAACAGGAUUAGAUACCCCAGUAGUC